rnacentral:lncRNA from 1 species
UUGCAGCAAAUUUGUGCUCAUGGGAGCCAUCAAGAAAGCCAUAACAUGUCGAUUACAGCUUCAUGAACUACAAGUUUCAUUCGAGAGAAUGAAGUUGCAGCAAAUUAAUUUGUGCCACCCUACAGCUCGUGGUAGGCAUCACCAAAGCCAUCAUAUGUCAAUUAUUGAUGUCCUUUCCAGCUCUCUCUUUAAUGCUCUGUCCGAGUUCGAUGGUUUGGAGAUUGUCACUGUGGAGGUCUCUGGUAGCUCCUACCACAUGCCCCCAUAACCCUCUUUGGAAUGGCCG